rnacentral:rRNA from 1 species
UACGAAGGGGGCGAGCGUUGUUCGGAAUUACUGGGCGUAAAGGGCGCGCAGGCGGCUCUGAAAGUCAGAUGUGAAAGCCCCGGGCUUAACCUGGGAAUUGCAUUUGAUACUCUGGAGCUUGAGUACGGGAGAGGAGAGUGGAAUUCCCAGUGUAGAGGUGAAAUUCGUAGAUAGUUGGGAAGAACACCGGGUGGCGAAGGCGGCUCUCUGGACCGUAACUGACGCUGAGGCGCGAAAGCGUGGGGAGCAAACAGG